UUGUUUACAUAUUAUUAAUUGACACAUUUAUGGUUUAAUUAUGCCGUUUUUAUUAUUUGCCAAUGACGUCAUUCGCAUGAGACAGUGGAUCUGUGCACAUGAAGGGCACCAGUUGUUUGUGAUCAUAAAAACAUGUGCCUUAACCCUUCAUACAUACAUUUAACCGGUAGCCAGUUGUUUUUUGUAUUGCUGUUUGCCUAAUCACAUUCCGCUAUUCUUUAACUACGCAUUUCUCGCAAAAAAUAGUGACCAGAAACUGAACUCACAAUUGUCGCUCGGUGAGGUUGUCUCCACGAGUGCCCAUCAGGCAGGUUUCUUCGGGGAAUCAGGAAGCGACGGAGGCUUCCUGCAAAUGCUAACGCUGGCGAGAUUUGUUUUGCAACGGUUGUUCAUCUGACAGUGUUGACCUAGCAGUGGUUAUGGAUGCAUUCGGGUCCUGAUUGAACAUAACACAUCAUGGCAACGGACGAUGCAGUCUCACCCGUGGUCGUCCUGUGAUCCCCGACCACACUCAGGGGGACUAUCACCUUGUCCUCUCCUUCGUAGCUGGAGGUGUAGCAGGAUGAAGUGCCAAAUACACCAUCGCUCCUCUGGACAGAGUGAAGUUCUUACUGCAAGCCAACAGUCCCCACGACAAAGACCUGGGUAAGAACUAGAUAACUCUGCUGCGGUGGAAGUGUUACUGAACAUGUAAACAUGUGUUUUGUCAGUUGGUUUGUCAGUGUCACUCGUGUAUCACCCCUCCCAUGGACAUCUGACACAGGUUUUCCUUCUUCUACCACCUGGUUGCAGUGAAAACUAAACUAUGACAUCCCUCCACACAAUUAUCUCUUGCUUAUUUCUCUCCUUCACUCUCUCUCCCCUCCCUCUCUCCUCGAGGUUUGGUAGCUACUCUCCGUGUCGUGCCAAGAAAGGAGGGUUACCUGGGGCUCUAUAAAGGCAAUGGGGCCAUGAUGGCCAGGAUAUUCCCCUACGGAGCUAUCCAGUUCAUGGCCUUUGACAAAUCCAAGAAGAUCCUCAGUAAACAGCUGGACGUCUCUGGACACAUCCACAGGCCCGUGGUCGGUGCUAUGGCAGGGAUGACAGCAGUGAUAUGUACGUACCCUCUUGACGUGAUCAGAGCCUGUCUGGUUUACCAGAUGAAAGGACACCAUCACUACACGGGCAUCAGAAAUGCCUUCCAGACCAUAUACCUAAAGGGUUCUUGUUCAUUACCUUCAGCACGUUGAGGACUUCCCAGAGAUACUGGGACGACCGUCCUCAGACAACCCAGAGGUGCUGGUGCUGUAGACCAACGUCAACCUGCUCUGUGGAAGGAGUGGCCGGAGCUGUCCACAGACCAUAUAAGUACUCCUCUUCUCCAUCUCCUCUCCCAGCUAUCCUCUAGAUGUUGCCUGGAGAAGGAUGCGGUUAGGAGUGGUGCUUCCUGAAUCUGACGAAUGUCGUACCCUGACCAAGACUCUUGUGUACAGUCAGUAUGGGGUGAAGAAGGGUCUGUACAGAGGCCUGUCUCUCAACUACAUCUACUGUGUGUCCUCACAGGAUGUGGCCUUUAUCACCUAUUGGUUGAUGAAGCAAACCAUCCACCUCAACUAGCUGCUCCCUCACUAUCCAUCUCUACCCUUCAUCGUUGCAUUGCGGGACUGAGGCACGUUCACUGGGGAUAAACGUUCUGAAAAGUUUAGAAAGAUCCCUAGCAGCUGUCUCAAAACAGCCUGAACAAGAGCGUUCUCUGGGGCUAUAUGUUCUGAAAUGUUAAGGGAAUAUUGCCUAUUAGAUAUGUUAAUUUGCCCUAGUAAACGUUUUCAGUUUUAAGGAAGUCGGCUUCCAUUCGGAGGUGUUGACCCCUGCUACCAGAGGCGGCCAUUGUGGCUCAGCCACUGGAGCCCAGCCUAGUAGCUGCUUACCCCAGUCGGAAAGCAGAGGAAUGCUAGGCGCUGGGCCCCAUGGCAGUGCUAAUCCAGUGCCCAUGUCUGUGUCUGCGCCUAUAAUGUUGUGCUGACAACACCCCGGCAACUAUUGCCAUGGAUACGUAUAGACAAUGGCUUCCAUAGAAACCCAAUUAUAUACACUGCUCCCCCAUCCUACCCCACCACCCGCCCCUAAGAAGUCACCCAGCCAAUGACGGAGGGGAAAGUCACACCGGACAAUCUGGCUUAUCCAAUCGGAGGCCUUCUUUUCCUCAUGUACCUACUGUUGUGAGUACAAAUCUAGACACAUAAUCAACGAGACAAGGAUUUAAAUGUGUAGUAUGUCAGUUAUAAAAGUCCAGAUUCAACUAUCGAACAUUUUAUGAGAAUAAAGAAACACUCCCCAGGCUUGUGUUGAACACAGAACUGUACUUUUUGAGCAGCCUAAUAAGUCUAAUAGAAUCCUAAUGAUAAAAUCCCACAUCAGUUUGUUCAAAACUGAACAUAAUUUAUUUUUUAUUUUGAUACUCCCAAAAAAGUCUUAUUGUCUGUCUGACAUCGAAACAGGUUUGCUUUCUAAUUUGUUCACCCCAUGCAGUUUAACAGAUGUGUCUCUGUAGGAGUGUUGUGUGUGUGUGUGGUGUGUGUGUGUGUGUGUUAAAGCAUCCGUUCAGCUUUCAGUGUGUAGUGUGUCUCUUGUCUAUGGUGCAGGUUAGAUUCAGGGAAUGAGGCCGUGAUUUACUAUUGAAGCGUGCAGAAACAGUUAUGUCUCAUUCUAAUGAUGUUGUGUAUCUACCGGGAGGAUUUAGAAUUUAUAGAGAUUUGUGUCUAUGAGAGUCCAAGGGACUAGUAUCCAGUGGGGUUGCAAAAUUAAACUUUUCCAAAAUGCUCAGGUUUCCCAGACAUCCCAGGUACAGGAUGGAAAUGGAACACGUUGGAAUUUGUCAGCUACUGAGAUCUAGACACUAGCAUAAAUAAAUACAUGUAAGAUGGUGCUAUAUAAUUUGAAGCACCCAAAUGGAAACCUGAGUUAAGCACUUCAGGAAGAAACUUGCACUUGGAAGACGUGGAUGUCUAUUAAGGCAGCCCCCCGCACCUCUCUAAUUCAGAGGGGUUGGGUUAAAUUCGGAUGACACAUUUCAGUUGAAUGCAUUCAGUUGUACAACCUGCUAGUUAUCCCCCUUUCCUUUGGCUCUUUUGUGUUUAUUUAUGAUAGUGUAGUAUGACUCUGUCCACAAGGGGUCAGAAAUGAGUCCGUAAUAUAUUUAGCCACAACAACAGCCUGCCCUGGAUGUAACUGGACUUUACAUUACCAUGCUGAAUCAAAAUCAAAUAAUGUAUUGAUCACAUGCGCCGAAUACAAUAGGUGUAGGCCGUACCGUUAAAUGCUUACUUACAAGCCCUUAACCAAUAAUGCAGGGUUUUAACAAAGUAAGAGAAAAUGUGCUAAAUAAACUAAAGGAACGAUAGCCUCAUUAUUGUUAUUUAAUGUGUUACUAUGUACAAAGCCUUCAUACCCACUACAGAGGUUUCUGUAAUCUUAUCAGUCCAUUGUUAUCAUGAUGAUCCCCACACUGGAGUGCCUUAUGAAUAUGGGCCAUGUUCUUAUCUUGUUAAGCCAAAUGAUGUAAGGAAAGAGGAAGUAAUGAGAAUCAUAUGUACGCUACUGGUCAAAGGUUUUACAACACCAACUCAUUCAAGAGUUGUUCUUUAGUUUUACUAUUUUCUACAUUGUAGAAUCAUAGUGAAGACGUCAAAACUAUGAAAUAACCAAAUCAAAUUUUAUUUGUCUCAUGCGCCGAAUACAACUGCUGGAGACCUUACAGUGAAAUGCUUACUUAUAAGCCCUUUACCAACAAUGCAGUUUUAAGAAAAUACAAAAAAAAGAGAUUAGAGUAACAAAUAAUGAAAGAGCAGCGGUAAAUAACAAUAGCGAGGCUUUAUACAGGGGGUACCGGUACAGAGUCUAUGUGCGGGAGUACCGGUGUCGAGGUAAUUGAGGUAAUAUGUAGGUAACAGUUAUUUAGAGUAGCAGAAGUGUAGGGGGGGGGGGGGGGGCAAUGCAAAUAGUCUGGGUAACCAUUUGAUUAGCUGUUCAGGAGAAGCUGUUUAGAAGCCUCUUGGACCUAGACUUAGCGCUUCGGUACCGCUUGCCAUGCGGUAGCAGAGAGAACAGUCUGACGAGGGUGGCAGGAGUCUGACAAUUGUUAGGGCCUUCCUCUGACACCGCCUGGUAUAGAGGUCCUGAAAAGCAGAAAGCUUGGCCUCAGUGAUGUACUGGGCCGUAUGCACUACCCUCUGUAGUGCCUUGCGUUCGGAGGCCGAGCAGUUGACAUACCAGGCAGUGAUGCAACCAGGAUGCUCUCGAUGGUGCAGUUGUAAAACCUUUUGAGGAUCUAAGGACCCAUGCAAAUUCUUUUCAGUCUCCUGAGGGGGAAUAGGUUUUGCCGUGCCCUCUUCACGACUGUCUUGGUGUGUUUGGACCAUUCUAGUUUGUUGGUGAUGUGGACGCCAAGGAACUUGAAUCUGUCAACCUGCUCCACUACAGCCCCGUCGAUGAGAAUGGGGGCAUGCUCAGUCCUCCUUUUCCUGUAGUCCACAAUCAUCUCCUUUUGUCUUGAUCACAUUGAUGGAGAGGUUGUUGUCCUUGCACCACAUGGUCAGGUCUCUGACCUCCUCCCUAUAGGCUGUCUCUUUGUUGCCUGGCCGUGCAGUCAUGAGUGAACAUGGAGUACAGGAGUGGACUGAGCACACACUCCUGAGGGGUCCCCGUGUUGAGGAUCAGCGUGGCGGAUGUGUUGUUACCCUUACCACCUGGGGGCGGCCCGUCAGGAAGUCCAGGAUCCAGUUGCAGAGGGAGGUGUUUAGCUUAAUGAUGAGCUUUGAGGGCACUAUGGUGUUGACCGCUGAGCUGUAGUCAAUGAAUAGCCUUCUCACAUAAGAGUUCCUUUUGUCCAGGUGUGAAAGGGCAGUGUGAAGUGCAACAUAAAUUGUAUCAUCUGUGGAUCUGUUGGGGCGGUAUGUAAAUUGGAGUGGGUCUAGGGUUUCUGGGAUGAUCUUGUUGAUGUGAGCCAUGACCAGCCUUUCACAGCACUUCAUGGCUACAGACGUGAGUGCUACGGGUUGGUAGUCAUUUAGGCAGAUUACCUUGGUGUUCUUUGGCACAGGGACUAUGGUGGUCUGCUUGAAAUAUGUUGGUAUUACAGACUCAGACAAGGAGAGUGAAAAUGUCAGUGAAGACUUGCCAGUUGGUCAGCGCAUGCUCAGUGUUACACGUCCUGGUAUCUGUCUAUCCUUGCGGCCUUGUGAAUGUUGACCUGUUUAAAGGUUUUACUCACAUCGGCUGCGGAGAGCGUGAUCACACAGUUGUCCGGAACAGCUGAUGCUCUCAUGCAUGUUUCAGUGUUAUUUUGCUUGUCUGGUAGGCUCAUGUCACUGUGUAGUUCUCAGUGGAAUCAUGUAGCACACAUGGAAUCAUGUAGUAACCAAACAAGUGUUAAACAAAUCAAAAUAUAUUUUAUAUUUGAGAUUCUUCAAAUAGCCACCCUUUGCCUUGAUGACAGCUUUGCACACUCUUGGCAUUCGCUCAACCAGCUUCAUGAGGUAGUCACCUGGAAUGCAUUUCAAUUAACAGGUGUGCCUUGUUAAAAGCUCAUUAUUGGAAUUUCUUUCCUUCUUAAUGUGUUUGAGCCAAUCAGUUGUAUUGCGACAUGGUAGGUGCGGUAUAUAGAAGAUAGUAUGGACUUGGUCUUUUACCAAAUAGGGCUAUGGCAAGAACAGCUCAAAUAAGCAAAGAGAAAAAACGACAGUCCAUCAUUACUUUAAGACAUGGUCAGUCAAUACAGAACAUUUCAAGAACUUUAAAUGUUUCUUCAAGUGCAGUCGCAAAAACCAUCAAGCGCUAUGAUGAAACUGGCUCUCAUGAGGACCACCUCAGGAAUGUUAGACCCAGAGUUACCUCUGCUGCAGAGGAAAAGUUCAUUUGAGUUACCAGCCUCAGAAAUUGCAGCCCAAAUAAAUGCUUCACAGAGUUCAAGUAACAGACACAUCUCAACAUCAACUGUUCAGAGGAGACUGUGAUUCAGGUCUUCAUGGUUGAAUUGCUGAAAGAAACUGCUAGUAAAGGACAACAAUAAGAAGAAGAGACUUGCUUGGGCCAAGAAAUAUGAGCAUUGAACAUUAGACUGGUGUAAAUUUGUCCUUUGGUCUGGAGUCCAAAUUGGAGAUAUUUGGUUUCAACCGCCGUGUCUUUGUGAGACGUGAUGUGGGUGAACGGAUGAUCUCCGCAUGUUGUAUUUCCCACGUGAAGCAUGGAGGAGGUGUGAUGGUGUGGGGCUGCUUUGCUGAUGACACUGAUUGAUUUAGAAUUCAAGGCACAGUUAACCAGCAUGGCUACCACAGCAUUCUGCAGCAAUAUGCCAUCACAUCGGGUCUCAAUAGUCUAAAGUCACUUCUUUUGCCAAUCUGCUUUCCUUCAGCUGCACUGAACGAGCUGGUUAGGUAAACACUACUUCCUGGUAGGCCGCUUCCAUACUGCUUUCAGCUAUCCUGUGUUUUCAGAUCAGUGGAGAGGAUGGAGAGGAUUUUGUUUCAGUGGACAAUUUAAAAUACAUAAAAAAUGUACACCCGGUAACAGAUACAUACCAUUAACUGUCAACGAUAUAAACACAAAGUUGAAAGACUUGUUUCUUACUAUUGAGAUGCAUCCUCUAACUUCCCCGAAGGCCAAGCAACACAGGACUUACAUGUAUGUUACCGGGCUAUAAAAAAAGAUGAGGCCAUACUCUCUUUGGAGCACUGAUGCUCUGUCCCAAUGCACAUGUCUCCUAUUGGAAUGUUUACCACUGUCCCAAUGCACAUGUCUCCUAUUGGAAUGUUUACCACUGUCCCAAUGCACAUGUCUCCUAUUGGAAUGUUUACCACUGUCCCAAUGCACAUCUCUCCUAUUGGAAUGUUUACCACUGUCCCAAUGCACAUGUCUCCUAUUGGAAUGUUUACCACUGUCCCAAUGCACAUCUCUCCUAUUGGAAUGUUUACCACUGUCCCAAUGCACAUGUCUCCUAUUGGAAUGUUUACCACUGUCCCAAUGCACAUCUCUCCUAUUGGAAUGUUUACCACUGUCCCAGUGCACAUCUCUCCUAUUGGAAUGUUUACCACUGUCCCAAUGCACAUGUCUCCUAUUGGAAUGUUUACCACUGUCCCAAUGCACAUCUCUCCUAUUGGAAUGUUUACCACUGUCCCAAUGCACAUGUCUCCUAUUGGAAUGUUUACCACUGUCCCAAUGCACAUCUCUCCUAUUGGAAUGUUUACCACUGUCCCAAUGCACAUCUCUCCUAUUGGAAUGUUUACCACUGUCCCAAUGCACAUCUCUCCUAUUGGAAUGUUUACCACUGUCCCAAUGCACAUCUCUCCUAUUGGAAUGUUUACCACUGUCCCAAUGCACAUGUCUCCUAUUGGAAUGUUUACCACUGUCCCAAUGCACAUCUCUCCUAUUGGAAUGUUUACCACUGUCCCAAUGCACAUCUCCCCUAUUGGAAUGUUUACCACUGUCCCAAUGCACAUCUCUCCUAUUGGAAUGUUUACCACUGUCCCAAUGCACAUCUCUCCUAUUGGAAUGUUUACCACUGUCCCAAUGCACAUCUCUCCUAUGGGAAUGUUUACCAAUGAUUUCUCCCAGCCCACCCAUGGCACGGUAGCUAAGCCCUUAGCCUUCACCUAUUAAGUCAAUCUCAUCGAUGCUCAGACUUUAUUCUCUAUGGUCUUUUGUACAAGAUUUGUUAUUUUGGCGCUAGGAAACUUUAUGCAAUCAUUUUUUUAUUUAACCUUUAUUUAACUAGCAAGUUGAUUAAGGACAAAUUGUUAUUUACAAUUACGGCCUACCCCAGCCAAACCUGGACAACGCUGGGCCAAUUGUGCGCUACCCUAUGGGACUCCCAAUUACAGCCGGAUGUGAUACAGCCUGGAUUCGAACCAGGGAAUGUAGUGACACCUCUCUGCACUGAGAUGCAUUGCCUUAGACCGCUGUGCCCCUCAAGAGCCGUGUUUAGUCGACUGAAACCAGGGUUAUGUUCAGCAGUGUAAACGUGGGAGAAAACAUUUUGUCAAAUGCAAAUGACAGAUUGAGGUAGCAUCUUUUCUGUUUCACAGCGUUUCAUCCCAUUGAGGUGCCUGCUGAAUGUGACCUUGUUGAAACAGUUUUGUGAAUCCUAUCAUGGGUUUAAGACAUGAUUGUCUCAGUUAAUGUAUGUACUUAGGGUGAGAUUGGUUGCAUUGAUAAGUGGAGCACCUGAGAUGUCUGCAUUGAAUGUAUUAAUGUGUUUAUUCUGUAGACCUAAACUAUGCUUUUGAAACGCUACGGGCCAAAGUCCUUAAGAUCUAUGCUUGUAACUCAAAUGUUCAUGUAAAUCUUCAUUUACAUCAUUACUUGGUUCAGAGUUAGGGCCAAUUCCAUUUCAAUUCAGCCAAUUCAGGAAGUGAACUGAAAUCCCAAUUCUAAUUAUCCUCAUUGAAAAGCACAUGUCGGUUUACCUGCUGAAUUGAAGAGGAAUUGAGCCAAACCUUGUCAGAAUUCAGGCCUAAAGGGAACAUAUCAACUCACUGCUGCUCAAUAUAUCCUGACAGUAGUUUACACAUGACCUAUCCUAGCCUGGUUAAAACAGACUAAAUAAACACUGCUCACCUUACCGUAUGGACGAUGGUGAGUACAGCGUUAUGUCUUGUGUAACCAGGCUAGAACUACCCCGUCUUCAGAUCCGUUUAUUUAUGAUGAUAUUCUAAUAAUAUAUCAGGGAAGGAAUGGUUUAUUUAUUUUUAUUUAUACAUCAAUUCUUGUCAGUUUCUUGUUCUGAUUUUAUAAAUGAUAAAAGAUCAGAAUUGUGUUAAAAUGUUGUAUGUUAUUGAGUCAUUUUAAAGGCUGUUAUUUCUCAUACAGAACUUAUGAUUUGGUUGGUUGUUAGGAAUUUUAUAAAUAAAUGACUAAACAAUAUCCCCAUUUUAAAUGAAACUGUAACUAAGUAAACUAUACCCUGUUUUAUUAUAUCUGAUUAACAAUAUGAGUUCAUGAGUGAGGGAUUGUGGAGCCUGAAACAGAGUAAUUACAUUUAAAUCAAUACCAUUCCAGCCAGGUUGGAGGAGAUUAGGAGUAAGGAUUUUUAAGUAAGCAGAAAAGGUCUUUAAACUAUGGGUGAACCGACGAAACUUAGCUCUGGGGUGUUUUAGAUAAGGCAGUGAGUGCAUUCCCAGGUUUUCUGUUAACUAGAACAGUCAGCUAAGUGGUGAUCGAUAAUGGUGAGGGGUCAAGAGUUAAUUCAGUUAUAUAGUGUGUCCUGUGUGUGCGCUAGUGAGACGGAAUUAACUUUUAAACUUGCUUUGUCUUGGUCGGGAGGAGGAGAUUCAUUCACCAAUGACGUCAAAUUUUGUAUAUAAACUGUUGUUCGUGGUUACACGAAAAACUGUUGUUCGUGGCAGCGCGCUCCGAGAAUAAAUACUAUUAUCUAUUUUUGAUAA